rnacentral:rRNA from 1 species
CCUACGGGAGGCAGCAGUAGGGAAUAUUGCUCAAUGGGGGAAACCCUGAAGCAGCAACGCCGCGUGGAGGAUGAAGGUUCUAGGAUUGGUAACCCCCUUUGUUAGAGAAGAUUAUGACGGUAUCCAACGAAUAAGCACCGGCUAACUCCGUGCCAGCAGCCGCGGUAAUACGGGGGGUGCAAGCGUAACCCGGAAUCAGUGGUGUAAAGCGUGCGUAGGCGGGGUAAUAAGUCAGAUGUGAAAUCCUGUAGCUUAACUACAGAACUGCAUUUGACACUGUUACUCUGGAGUGUGGGAGAGGUAGGUGGAAUGCUUGGUGUAGGGGUGAAAUGCGUAGAGAUCAAGAGGAAUACUCAUUGCGAAGGCGGCCUGCUGGAACAUUACUGACGCUGAUGCACGAAAGCGUGGGGAGCGAACGGGAUUAGAUACCCGGGUAGUC